CACACAGCGAGUCAGGCUGAAUCCGGAAGUUCCACCUCAGCAAAAGACAAUCCAGACUGAGUCCUGAGGGCUGUGGGGUAUCAUAAAAGUUGGCACAGCGGCAGAAAAGACUGAAAAAGACAUUUUUGAAAAGAUUCAUCUGGGAGAACAUCUAGCAACUAAUUAGGGUAAGUGACAAGGAUUUGACAUUACUAAAUGGGCCCAGGAAAACUUCCAGAAACCACCGUCGGUAAACACAAUCCUCCAUGCCAUCUGCAGAUGCCAGCUAAAGCCCUAUCAUGCAAAACGGGAACCAUACAUGAACAUGGGGACAGAACCACCAUCAUCUCCUGUGGUCCACGGCUCAUUCAAAUGGGCUGUUUAAAAGUGUACAAGUGUUCUAUGGUCAGAUGAGUCUAAAUUUGACGUUCUAGUUGAAAAUCACAGACACUGCGUACUCCGGCCGGUGUGUUAUCAGCAUUCAGUUCAAAGGCCAGCAUCUCUGAUUGUAUGGGGGUGCAUAAGUGCAUAUGAAUGGGCAGCUUAAUGUUUUGGAAGGCACUAUAAAUCCUGAAAGGCAUAUAAAGGUUUUAGAGCAACAUAUGCUCCCCUCCAGAUGACGUGUAUUUCAGAGAAGGCCUUGGGUAUUUCUGCAGGACAAUGCAAAUCCUUCUACUGCUGCUAUUACAUCAGCAUGGCUUUGUAUCAGAAGAGUCUGGGUGCUGAACUGUCCAGAUAUUUCACCUACUGAGAACAUUUGGCGCAUCAUCAAAUCAAAUAUAUGUCAAAGACGAUCAUGAACUCUUCAGGCAGGAAUGGGACCAAAUUCCAACACCAAAACUCAUAACCUCGAUGCCCAGACAUCCUUAAACUGUUUUGAAAAGAUGAGGAGAAGCUACACCAUAGUAAAUAUGCAGGCAUCAAAUAUGGAAUUAGCUCAUUUUGUGCAUAGAAUUUAUGUUAUCUGUGUUCUAUUGUGAAUGAAAUAUCGGCUCAUGCGAUUUAAAA